rnacentral:rRNA from 1 species
CCUACGGGUGGCAGCAGUGAGGAAUAUUGGUCAAUGGGUGUAAGCCUGAACCAGCCAAGUCGCGUGAGGGAUGAAGGUUCUAUGGAUCGUAAACCUCUUUUAUAGGGGAAUAAAGUUUGGCACGUGUCCUAUUUUGUAUGUACCUUAUGAAUAAGGAUCGGCUAACUCCGUGCCAGCAGCCGCGGUAAUACGGAGGAUCCGAGCGUUAUCCGGAUUUAUUGGGUUUAAAGGGUGCGUAGGCUGCUUUUUAAGUCAGCGGUGAAAGUCUGUGGCUCAACCAUAGAAUUGCCGUUGAAACUGGGGGGCUUGAGUAUGUUUGAGGUAGGCGGAAUGCGUGGUGUAGCGGUGAAAUGCUUAGAUAUCACGCAGAACCCCGAUUGCGAAGGCAGCCUGCUAAGCCAUGACUGACGCUGAUGCACGAAAGCGUGGGGAUCAAACAGGAUUAGAUACCCGGGUAGUC